rnacentral:lncRNA from 10 species
CAUCCACUCAUUGGGCAAGGAAGGGGGCAGAGCCGUGGCUCACUGAAAAUGUGACUGAAGCAGAUACUGGAGCCCAGGCCAGCAGGGGCUUGAAACUAUAGAGCAAGGAAGGCAACUUCAGAUUCAGAAGACAGCUUGCUCACCCUGUCAGCUGCUGGAAGCAUGUGGGAGAGGCCUUCCGGAGGCCAGGCCCACCUUUGUUGCCUAAGAGGACAAAUAAAUUGGAAAGAACUAACCGUAAGUGUACUUGGACCGCAAAGAACCUCAAGGUUGGCAUGGGCUGGAGAAGUCAGUGAAAGCUUUGUUCACUGAUGACAGAGACAUUUGAGCACCUCCUAAAUGCUAGGCACUGUGCUACAGGUUCCGAGUAUCAAAAUCAACAUGGUGCCUGCUCUUGGGAAGCUUCUAGUGAAGUAGCUUUGAAAGAAAAUAAUUUCUAACCAUCAACUGCGAUAAGAAUCAGGAAGGAAAGUAACAGGGUGCUACGAAAGACGGGAACGGAUUCUGAUUUGGGGAGACGUCAGGGAUGACCUCCCAGAGGAAGCAGCCUUGAAGCUGAAACCUGUAGGAAAAUCGGGGUUAGCUACAUGCGGGCUGUGGGGAGAGUCCCCCAGGCUGAAGGUACAGCAGUGCAAGGCGUUGAGGAGUGGAAAAGGCUGGCGUGUUCAGAAACUGAGCACCUGUGUCUGGGGCACGGUGAGGAAGGAGUGAUGAGGUCAGAGAGGCCUUGGAAGCCAUGGUCAAGAUUUGGGAUUUUAUCUUAAGAAACUGGAUGCCACCGAAGGGUAUUAAGCAAGGACAAAAAACCAAACACCGCAUGUUCUCACUCACAGGUGAGAACUGAACAAUGAGAACACUUGGACACAGGGUGGGGAACAUCACACACUGGGGCCUGUUGUGGGAUGGGGGGAGGGGGGAGGGAUAGCAUUAGGAGAUAUACCUAAUGCUAAAUGAUGAGUUAAUGAGUGCAGCACACCAACGUGGCACGUGUAUACAUAUGUAACAAACCUGCAUGUUGUGCACAUGUACCCUAAAACUUAAAGUAUAAUAAAAAAAAAAGAAAG